rfam:Triticum aestivum genome assembly, contig: Triticum_aestivum_CS42_TGACv1_scaffold_624259_7DS
AAACUACUCUCUCCGUUUCGAAUUACUUGUCGCAGAAAUGGAUGUAUCUAGAACUAAAAAAAUGUCUAGAUACAUCCAUUUCUACGACAAGUAAUUCCGAACGGAGGAAAUAGAUA